UACGGGGGGGGUAAGCGUUGUUCGGAAUCACUGGGCGUAAAGCGCACGUAGGCGGAUCUUUAAGUCAGGGGUGAAAUCCUGGAGCUCAACUCCAGAACUGCCUUUGAUACUGGGGAUCUCGAGUCCGGAAGAGGUGAGUGGAACUCCGAGUGUAGAGGUGAAAUUCGUAGAUAUUCGGAAGAACACCAGUGGCGAAGGCGGCUCACUGGUCCGGUACUGACGCUGAGGUGCGAAAGCGUGGGGAGCAAACAGG
rnacentral:rRNA from 1 species